UUGACGUUUACGAACCCUGUGUUGUCUCCCGAGACUGGGCUUUUUCACAGUGUAUUCAGGGGGCAGGCAGCUAGAGGAUCAAGGAGAGAUACCUAUGAUUUGAGACAGAAAUUAAAUUGCGCUGAAACUAUGCAGGAACUCAUAGUGCACCUUUAACUUCAUUUAAUAUUUUGUUUUAAGUACUGUACU